UGAGUUCUCCCUGAGACUUAGAGUCUCCUGAAGGAACGUUGAAGACGACGACGUUGAUAGGCCGGGUGUGUAAGCGCAGCGAUGCGUUGAGCUAACCGGUACUAAUGAACCGUGAGGCUUAACCUU
rnacentral:rRNA from 1 species